AGUGGGCACUACUCAUGUUCUCUUCAUACUGGUGUGGUGUUGAGAGCCAGUGUGUAAUGGUUAGAGUGCUGGAAUAUGACCUGGGAGAUCAGGUUUCAAAUCCCCACUCAGCCAUGAAGCUCACUGUGUGACCUGCUCAGAAGCAAGUCCUAUUAAAUUCAGUGGAGCUGACUCCUAGGUAAGUGUGGUUAGGGUUGCAGCCUUUAUCUGGAUCCAACCCAUGGUGUGACUGCAGCUGUGCCUUUUGGCUUGUGGUGAGAGGUUGCAGUUGUUUGUUCUAACCUGUUGACAAAAGGGCAGAAUAACUAAAAUAUUCCAUGGCUAACUGAGCAUAACCAGUGCUUUUUCCUGGUGGGACGCAGGGGGACGCACACCCCUAAACAUUUUGUGAAUCUAAGUUUGGCCUCAUUGAGGGGCAGUAUGAGUAGGAAAAUAUGAGUAGGAAAAUGGGAGUACCUCUAAACAUUUUUUUAAGGAAAAAAAGCACUGUACAUAACUAUUGGUUUUGUAGCAUGUUUAUUUAUAACGAGGCUUAUCCUGACAUUGAUUCUUUCUCCUUUAUUUUCAAAAUAGUUUGCCUUAUAUGUAUAACAGUAGCUGGUUGAGUUCUGUAAUAUCCUGCAAGUUAUCAAAAUAGUGCCAAUUGUUCUUGGUAAAGUAAAACUAUGAAGAACACAGACAAUAUUUGAAUGUUGUGGUAGUGGUGAAUGCAGCUAUGAAUAUUUUGUUUAUCACUAGCCUUUUAGACGAACCAGAGCAAUUUACAUUCCACCGGCUAGGGUUGUAGUUUUCAGUCCGGACUCAGGCACAUGAGUUUUCUUAGAAACCUCAUUUUUAAAGCAAUCUUUGUCAUCAGAUCCCAGGAAUAGAUUGAGAGGAAGAGUGCAGUAGCCAAAUUUGCAAGUCUGCUUUGGAACUGGGCAAGACAUUCAGCAGUCAGGGAUCAGCUGCCUUGAACUUGGCAGUCUAGAAAUUUUGCACUGGAUUGCCAAUAAACCAAAAGACUAAAAUCUGUGUUUGGAAGAAAUCAUACAGCUUUGAACGAACAUUUUAUGCAGCAUCCUGCUUUUCUCUCUCUUUUUUUUGAGGGAGGAGCUUAUGUUGUACAAGAUUGGAAAAAGUAGUGUAGCAGAUAAAGCAUUGGUCUUGAUUCCCACCCCCUCUGCACCUUCCUAUACAGUAUCUAAAAUGUUGCCAAGCAGUUUUAGUGUUCUUAUUUGCUUCCUCCCUGCCUGCCUGUUCAUCAGUAGCAUUUUAAAUUCACCUUUCACCAAUAUAACUAUUACUACUGUUAUCGUCAUUAUUUUGCUAUUCUUAUUUAAAGCAGUGACAACAGUCCAGCAAGUUAAGAGCAGGUAAAAUACCGGUAAAACACAAAAUAAACAUUUCUGACAUAAAAGUACAACCAAUUAACAGCAGCAAAAUAGUAUCCCAUAAAUGCUUGGGAAAAUAGAGGUUUUAAGCUGGCGUCGGAAUGUCAGCAAUGUUGUUGCCAGUCAUACUUCUGUGCAGAGGGAAUACUCCAAGUAGGGCACCCUCACCAGGAAGGUUUCUGGUGGUGGGACAAUGAAAAUAUUAUCCCCGAGGUGCUAGAUGCAAGAAUUGAGACAGGCAUCCUGUUUAUUGCACCCCAACUCCUGGGCUAAACCUCUUCACAUCUUUAGGCCAAGGUCUUUAUUCUCUAAAAAAACUUUAGGUCACUGAAGAAAGAGAAUGGGUUGCUCUCCUUGACUUUGCAAUUCUGCAAUGGAUUCGGAUUGUUGCUUUUAACAUAGUGUUUAUUUUGUUGUUUUAUGUAGUCUCCAAGCCAUUUCAGGGCUUAGUACAUGGGGCACAUCUUUCUUUUUAACUGUAUUAAUAAACAGGCUGUGAGGGCUCUUCAUUGAAGUGUAUUCACUAAGGUGAAUUCAAGCAGAGUGAGCCUAUAAUCUGAAUAAACUACAGAAUGAGUCUUUGGAACACUUCUGUGUUUUGUUUCUCUUAAAUCUCUGUCUACAGUGCCCACUACCUUUCCCACAAAUUGCUUUUAAGUUCUUCAUAACAGGAAUUAUAUCACAUUUUGUCCGAGACGUACCUUCUUUGACUUUUUCCUUCUUCCAAUUCAUUCUGAGGAAAGGAGCUGAGUCACUGAGAGGCAAACCUAGCAACUGUUGAAUAAGACACAAGCACAGAUAAUACUAACGUGUAAACAGGAGUAGCGCUUACAGUUUUGCCACUUCACUUUUUUGGAAAAUAAUGAAAUGUGCCUAAACUGAGGUUGUUACAACUUUGAAUAUAAAAUGUGCUUAAGGUCCAACAUUGAGCUACUCACCCCCUACUGUCUGUUGCUUCUGAAAGUAUAUUGAGAUCAUCAUUUUUUUGUGCUCUGUUUUCAUAAACUGUAAACUGUUUUCUGACACGCAGUCAAAUUAUUUGGUAACUUCUUGCUGGCAUUGCUUUUGACACAUUUACAAAUUCAGGGUUACCAGACCUCCAAGUGUCCCUAUUUUCCAGGGGCAAUCCCGGAUUUACAGAAGCUGCCCUGGUUCCUGAUUUGAUUCCAGAAUGUCCCACUUUUCCUUAGGAUGUCUCUAGUUUCAUUGGAUAAAUGUUGGAGUGUAUGGAGUUAUGUGUCCCCUGAGCCAAGGAGAGAAGUAACUAUACAACUUUUAGAAGACAUCUGAAGGCAGUCCUGUGUAGGAAAGGUUUUAAAAAAAUGUUUAAUGUUUUAUUAUGUUUGGAAGUUGCCCAGAGAUGGGUGGGGUAUAAAUAAUAAAAUAAUCGUUGUUGUUGUUGUUGUUGAAUAGGACAUCCCUAUUUUCAUCAGAGAAAUGUUGGAGGGUAUGUAUUACUUUGUAGGCUUGGGAAAUGGGAUUUGAUUUAUGAAAUGGAAUUUGGUCUUCAACCAGUUGGCUUGGACCGCUACCAGGCCGCAACCUGUUGUAAAGUGGCCCACCACAGCAGCACUACCACCAUAAAUGUACAUGGCUAAGGAUGGAUCUGGGUUCUGAAAAGGCUGAAGAUUACAGGUUUCGGUGAACAAAAUAGUUCAGGUAAAAUUUAACUCUAAUGGUACUGAGCUGUGAUUGCAAAUAUUGCAAUCUCAUGAGUAUUUAUUAGAAUGUUAGUCUUAAUUUUUCUUUUAAAAUGCCUGUAAUUAGAUUCUGAGCCUUCCCUUUAACUGUUUUUGUUUGCCUCUGGAUUUUGUAUAAGGUUUUGUCAAACUACAAGGCAUAGUGAGCGUAGUGUAGUGGUUAGAGUAGUGGGAGAUGAGAGUUCAAAUCGCUGGUCAGCCAGGAAGCUUACGGGUUGACCUUGGGUCAAUCGCUAUCGCUCAGCCUAAUUUGCCUCAUAGAAUUGCUGUGGAGAGAAAAAAAAAGGGGGGGGGACAACGUAUGCCACCUGGAGCUCCUUGGAAGAAAGGUGAGGUGUAAAUGUCAGAACAUUUUUUUUUAUGCUCAGAACUAUUUUUUUCUAGACUGCUCUAGAAAAACUAUAUUGAGAAAACUAGGAUAACGAAGAACUCAUAGAAUCAUAGAGUUGUAGAGCUGGAAUGGACCAUGAGGGUCUUCAGUCCAACCCCUUGAAAUGCAGGAAUCUUUUUGGCCAACGUGGGGCUCAGAAUUAAGACCCUCAGAAAUACCCAGAAAAGAAAAGCAUGAUGACUGCUGGCUGGGAUUAGGGACAAGAACAUUAUUGACGUAUUGCUGUACCUUGGCUUUCAGUUUAUUUAUUUUGUCUGCAAAAAUGUCUACACCACCAAUAUUAAGAAAAAAUGUCAUGGUGACAAACAGCAUAAAAUCAACAAUUAAAUUGCAUCCGUAAAACAAAUGAAUACAGGACAAUUCUGUGGAUCAAAUUAAGACAUCAACAUGCCUGGAUCAGCUCUCGGGGCAAGGCGAGAUGAGCAGCUGUGGACCAGGUUCCCUGAAAGGCUGACUUCUCCUCCAAUGCCUGGUAAUGGUGUUAAAAUCAACCAGUGAAAUCUGGUUAGUCUUGUCAGUUGCCACAGCCUAAUGGUUAUGGAGGUGGGAUUUUUCACUGGUUGGCCCUGGUGUUAAAUGCACUCCCUACUGAAAUACAAGAGGUCUCAUCUGUAUUGUCAUUCUGUUGGCUUUGAAGAUGCAUCGGUUUUCACAGGCAUUCCUUUGAUCUCUCUACCUCGGCCCUUCAAAAUUGCUGUGUUUUUUUCAUAGGAUUCUUUUAUUCCGUAUUUUAAUUAUGGGCAUUUUUGUUGAAUGCUUGCCUUUUAUACUUGUAAAACCACAAAGAAGCCUGUUUUGGCAUUUCUAUAAAUUGUUUAUUAUUAGUAAUACUGUAAUGAUAACAGGUGAGUGUCUAAAUGGCAAUACUGUAGGUGCCUGACAGAUGUUCACUAGAUACACGAUCUAAAAGGCACGUGCUGCCACACUAACGGCCCUGGUCUCGGAGGAUUUAAGACAAAUCUCAGGAGCAUACAGCACUACUAGGAGUAUCUCUCUUGAAGUUCAAAGUGACAGGGAUACAUAAGGUAAGGCAUUCCAGCAGUAGAGGAAGUUUUCUGAAAACAUUGUAGUUGUACUUGUGUAUUAAUUGACAAGAGGAGCUGAAUGUGGAACUGUUCUUUCUGAAACUUUGUAAUCAGAUAUUAGUGUCACUUUUCCUAUCUUAAUUGUCAUUCAUCCUAUCUUGAAUUGUGGUCCCAUCAUUUUACAGGUUAAGGGUCCAACCAUAUGUAACACUAAAUCUGUUUUUGCACUUAACAUACAUGUUCAUGUUUC